CACCUCAUCAACUGGAAGGAAUUCCUUCUGGUCAAUGAGGUUGAUAUACCUCAUCAACCAGAAGGAAUCCCUUCCAGCCAAUGAGGUU
rnacentral:miRNA from 1 species